rnacentral:rRNA from 1 species
UACAGAGGGGGCAAGCGUUGUUCGGAAUCACUGGGCGUAAAGGGAGCGUAGGCGGGUUCUUAAGUAAAGUGUUUAAUCCCGGGGCCCAACCCCGGACCGGCAUUUUAAACUGGGAAUCUUGAAUAGUGGAGAGGUCGGUGGAAUUGGGGGUGUAGCGGUGGAAUGCGUAGAGAUCCCCAAGAACACCAGUUGCGAAGGCGGCCGACUGGACACAUAUUGACGCUGAGGCUCGAAAGCAUGGGGAGCGAACAGG